rnacentral:rRNA from 1 species
CUACGGGUGGCAGCAGUGGGGAAUAUUGCACAAUGGAGGAAACUCUGAUGCAGCAACGCCGCGUGGAGGAUGACACUUUUCGGAGCGUAAACUCCUUUUAUAUAGGAAGAAGAUGACGGUACUAUAUGAAUAAGCGCCGGCUAACUCCGUGCCAGCAGCCGCGGUAAUACGGAGGGCGCAAGCGUUACUCGGAAUCACUGGGCGUAAAGAGCGUGUAGGCGGAUUAAAAAGUCAGAAGUGAAAUCCUAUAGCUUAACUAUAGAACUGCCUCUGAAACUCUUAAUCUAGAAUAUGGGAGAGGUAGAUGGAAUUUCUGGUGUAGGGGUAAUAUCCGUAGAGAUCAGAAGGAAUACCGAUUGCGAAGGCGAUCUACUAGAACAUUAUUGACGCUGAGACGCGAAAGCGUGGGGAGCAAACAGGAUUAGAUACCCUGGUAGUC